rnacentral:misc_RNA from 1 species
UUUUGCCCCAGAUAGUAGUGAAAAGCUUCGAGAUUCAGAAAGCUAUUUUUUCUUGAGUUUGUAGAACGACCGAAGGAAGUUCCUGCAAACUCGUAGAAAAAAAGAUUUCUGGACGAGAACUUGUAACUGAUAGCUGGAUUAGGC